UUUUAUUGAAGGACAUAAGUAUAUAAAGCGAGGAUUCAUUUGGAAUAGCAAGAGUGAAAAAGUCUUAAGUUAAGUUGAAGACUAUUUUUUUCAUUGCCUUAAAAACUUUGAAACUUUGAAUUUUCAUUGAAGAAAAUAAAAAUGACCUGGAGUAGAAUUUUCGUAAUAAUAAACUUGUUUAUAAUUAUUGAAGUGCAAUCAUAUGUACACAAUAGAUAUUCCGAUAAACUUGUAUGCAAUGAUUUGAUAGUACAACGCGUAUGUUAUUAUACGUGUGUACCGGGGGCAAGAUGGAUAGAUAAUCAAUGCCGUCCAAUUUGCUCUGAUGCUGAAAUUUGGAGUAAUGGCGCAUGCGAACCAAAAUGUUCUUUCGGGUAUCGUUGGCUUGACGGAAAUUGUCAGCCGUUAUGUUCAUACGGUACCAAAUGGAUCAACGGACUUUGUCAAGUGCCAGUAGAAGAACCUAGCGGGUGCUCGUCUGGUAUCGACUAUAUUUUUGGCAAAUGCCGCAAUAGUUGUUCCAAUAAUCAGUGUCGACCGAGAUGUCCUGAAGGGGAAGUUUUUGUUGACAAUGAAUGUAAGUCCAAGUGUUAUAAUGGCUACCGUUGGAUUAAUAAUCAAUGCCGACCAAAAUGUUCAACUUUUGUUCAAGACUUUUUAGUAAGACGGAUUACAACUGAUUGUUGGGAUUAAUUAUUAUCAGAAAUAAAUUUAUGGAAAAAUAUUAUUGUAAAUUGAAAUUGAAUUUUUUGUAUUAAUAACAAAAUAAUAAAAAAUAUUUUAUAUUAGAAAACAUU